CACUUACAUAAGCCCUAGUGACAUGAUACAAACCUCUCAGGCCUUUCACCAGAGACUUGGUUGUGCCUCCCUCAAGCCCUGGGGACCAUUAGGCAGAGGGGAGUGAGGAGACCCGAGAAUGGAGGAAACUGAGGCAAAGAAGCUGAAGUGACUUGCCCAGGGUUAUACAACUAGCCAUCUUUUGUUUCCUGCCUGGACAUCAGUAGCCAAGACCCAUCAUCCCUCCCAUCUGUUCAGAUCCAUCUCAUCACUUUGGCUCGAGGGCCUAACCCAGUUUUCAGAGAGUCAUUGAAGUCCAGGGACAAGACAAAAGUCAAGAUGGCUGGCAAUGGCCCAGGAUACAGUGGAUGACCUUGGUGGCUUUGAUGUCUGACCAAACUCUUAGCACUCUAUGGCACCUCCUUCAUCUGCCUUCAUGGCUGUUGGAACAUAUUGUUUUCAUCUGUCCAUUCUCCCAGGGGAAGUCUUCACAUGCUAGGGGGAGACAUCCUUUCUAACUCAUUGAUGGGUUGGAGACCUAUUGGUUACCCUCAACAUGAUUUAGCCUGUUGGAAGAGAUGGUUUCACCAGGGUGUGGCCGCUUCUCAUGUUACAGCUUCUUGGAGGCCCAGGUGAGAGUUGCGCAAAAGGUAGACACCAAAGGUGGAUGAACAGCCCUGCAAAGGGCUUGGCAAUCCCUCACACCAGAGGUGCUGGUCUUCUUUGAACACACCACAUGCUCCAAGAGCAGUGGAUAGGGGAAUCAGGAAGACUUGAGUUGAAAUCUGGUCCCACAUGCUUAUUAUCUAUGUGGCCUUGGACAAGUCAUUUAACCUCUGCAUGACUCAGUUUCCUCAAUUGUAAAAUGGGGAUCAUGAUAGUACCUACCUCCCAAGGUUGAUAAGAGGAUCAAAUAUUUGUAAAAUGUUUAACACAGGACGUGCUUAGUAAAUGUAUAAUUCCUCCUUGACUCCCUGAAAAGGAUCUUACAAUGGAAAAAGACUGUUGAACUUGGACUGAGAAGACAUGGGUUCAAAUUCCAGCUUCGCUACUUCUACCUACAUGACUCUGAGGACCAGAUGCCUUUCAUUAAGAUUAAACAAGGGCUCUAUGAAAGUGAGCCCUUGUGGAGCUCCAAAAUAUUGAAAGAUACAGAAGAAAUUUUCCAGCAUGUUGAAGGGAGGCCUCAUUGGAGAAUUUACAGAGAUCAUAGACAAGAGGAACAGAGGAUAAGGAAAGGUUGAAUGAACUGUGAUCUGCACUGUUGGAUAGACUACCUGCAUCAUGGAAAUCAAAUCUUUGUAAAAGCAUUGAAGACCAAUCUAUGUGUCACUUGGGCCCUGACCCCUGGUAUGACGACUGUGAAUCAUAAGCCCUCUAGCUUAAUCUUUCUAGAUUUCUAAGAUUAGGUACCAUCGAUACCUGAUUUGUUCCUUCUGAACCUCUAUAUGGCCUGCCUCAUCUAGGGAAACACUGGGAAUGUUAAUACUUGAUUGGUUUUGCUAUCCUUCUUCUCUCCCCCCAAAAGUAUGUUCCUCAGUUUCCCUGUAAGCACAUACAGGAUGGAUUUUAUUUAACCUAACAAAAUAUGCUGAAUGGGCUCAUACCCUAGUCCCUCAAUAGUCAGGAAAGUCUUCUUCCCUUUCUUGGUGGGUGUCAAGCCAUCCUCCCUUCUGGUGAAUUCCAUUUUUGACUAACACAUUCCUCAUGACAUCCAGGGAAAGAAUAAGUUAGUGCUGCUUCUCAGAACACAUGCUUCUGUGCUGUGCUGACCCUUCUUCCCCUUGGGGACCAUCCCGAAGGGAUGGCCUGUGAGCUUGUUUCCAUGUCGAAGAAGGCUGGUGGUCUGUGACUCUCUGCCUUCUCUUGUUUAGGCUUUGAAAAUAUUUCGUCACUUUCAUCAAGACUCCAAAUCCUUUGCCUAUUCUCAUCACGACCUCUUUUUGCCUGUAAACUAAUCAUCUCUCUUCAAGGCAUUGCCUUUUUCUGCGUCUCUAUCAGGUGCCGACCUCAUAUUUACACAGGGGCCAGCUGCACACUCAGGCCUCUCUCCAGAUCUAGACACCGGGCAUUAGAGCCAGCGUUUCUCAUUUUCAAGUCCGAGACUAAGGUCUAGCUGAGGUUUGUGGAGCUUUUUUCAUUCCUGAGAAGUAAAUUCUGAGGAAGCUAUGAGUUGUCAUUAGAACAAUGGUCGGGAGAGUAGUCAGUCAAUAGCCCAUCUAUUAAUGGCCUACUAUGUUUCAGGCACUAUGUUAAGUACUAGGGUUACACAUAAAAAAAAGGCAGCCCCUGCCCUCAAGGUGCUUACAAAUCAAAAAUUAGAAAAGAAAAACAAUACAGGAAAUGGGGAGGGAGAAGGUACUCAACUAGGGUCAUGGAGAUGAGUAAGAGAAAUCCCAGAAUAAUGUUCCCAGGUGAUGAGAAAUGAAAGAGUAGAGCAGUAUGGGAGGAGGGAGAGGAGAGGCAAGAAAAAGUCGCACUUGUCCAGGAGAGAGAAUGGAGCAAAGUGGAUAAAAAUGAAUGGACCUGGAGUCAGGAAGUCCUAAGUUCAAAUCCAGCCUUAGAUAGUAGCUGUGUGACCCUGUCACUUAACCCUUGUCUGUUUCAGUUUCUUCAUCUCUACAAUGGGAUAAUCAUAGCACCUAUCUUCCCAGGUUGUUGUGAGGAACAAAUCAGAUAAUAUCUGCAAAGCAUUUUGCAAAUCAUAAAUGCUGGGCAUAAUUACCAUUACAUGACACCUCUUAGCAUACGCCCACUCCAUUAGCAUGUGAAUACUUGAAUAAAAAUGUAUGGGAUUCUUAUUAUUUUUAUUCGUGCACUUUUCCUACCUAAGAAUAAUAAUACCUAUAGUGCUUUAAUGUUUUCAAAGCCCUUACCUUCAUUAUUUCAUUUGAAUCUCCAGGAUUCUGCCAGGUUAAGUGCUACAAGCUAUUAUUUCCCCCAUUUUAUGAAUGAGGAAACCGAAGCUCAGAGAGGUUAAAUCACUUGUACCUGGUCAGACAGAAAAGCAAUGGAGAGGCAGGAUUUGAAUCUAGGUCCUUCUGACUGCAGGUCCUGCCUCAGUGGUCCGUCUUGGGGAGGAGAACCAAGGCAGCCAGAGUAUUCCCAUGCCAGUGUUUUGCAAUUCCUGUCCCAGGGGUCAGCAAACCGGGAGCGGGAGGUUCCACUGGGUCUUGGACCGCACCGGAGAACACGUCUCUGCUCCAUUAAUCCUGCCCGUGAAAUAUGUAAGAAUUCUUUCUGAUGGGAGCUGAAGCCCAUUGGAACAUAAAACAUGCAGAAAAUGAAAUAUUCACUUUCCUCGUGGACCUGGGAAUGGCUGUUGUGUUUUGUAUUAUGAGCCAUUAAAGCGCUGGGGCCAGAAUGGGGAAAAAAAAAAAAAGAUCCCGGUUCCUCUCGUGUCCUGUGGAUAAACAACUGCAGGUUGUGGCUAAUAAAAUGAGAAAGUUGAAAUACAGUUUCAGUUUAGUUCGAGUUGGAUAUUAAUAGCUCCGGGGACAGGCUCAAAAGGGAGGAGAAGGAGGAGGGAAAGAAAGGCGAUGUGAACACCAUUAACAUCCAAUUUCCCCAAGAACCGCGAGCAGUCUGAGACGCUCUGACUCUGCCCGCUGGAGAGAGGCCCGGCGGCCGAGGAGGGGAGAUAAGAAGCCGAGGUGUUACUGCCAAAACGGCUGACGCUGCAGCUUAUCAGGAAUCAGGCUCCUCUUUCAGAGGGCAGUUGCUGGUGGGGGCGAGGGUGAGGAUUGCAGCCCCAGAUGCUGGGGGAGAGAGAGGAAAGGAGCCCGGGGAAGCCUGGGUGAUGUGAUCAUCCAGGCACCUGCAGACUAGGAAUAGUCCUGGUAGGCCCUUGCCCCGGACAGAGUAUCUACAGGCUUGAGCUAUCAAUGCUUUCCUGACUCCCAAAUAUAUAUAAAUGUGUAUGUAGGUCCUUCCCCCUCCCACAUAACCAUGUCUUUGCUGCCCUCCAUAAACACAAUUGCUCAGGAAAUGCUCCAUUGCCUUCCUGCAUUGUUCCUCAGAGCUGUGGCUAACAAUUUUGGUACCUGGAGCAAGUGUAGGAUUGGGGCAGGGAAAGAAGAGACCCUUGGCCUCAGAUACAAAGCAAUGUGGUGCAAAAGACCCUAUGGAUGGGGAGACAAAGACCCUGAAACACAUUGUUACUGGGUAGGCUUCCAUAGGGGAAGGGAACAAGGUGGAGCCAGGGGAAACACUCUCCUGGAGUGAGGGUUCAAGAUCCUCUCUUGGUGCAAGCUGGCUUUUACUUACAGCAUUUGUAGGUGGAUUUCAUGUGAGUCAAAUGUAGCAGGUUAGGGGCAGAUAGGUGGCACAGUAGAUAUAGCACGGGCCCUGGAUUCAGGAGGAUCUGAGUUCAAAUCUGACCUCAGAUACUUACUAGCUGUGUGACCCUGGACAAGUCACUUAACUCUGUUUGCUUCAAUUCCUCAUCUGUAAAAUGAGCUGGAGAAGGAAGUGGCAAACCACUUCAAUGCUUUGCCAAGAAAACCUCAAAUGAGGUCACAAAGAGUCAGACAUAAUUCAACAGAAAUAAGCAGUCAUGCAGGGGAUGUGGGAGGACCAUUUCUCAGAGAUUUCAGAGCAACCACUGUAUACUCCAACCCCUGAAGAAGCAGGAAGUGGGGAAGGUGGAGUGACCACUUCCCUCAACUUGGGGAUAAGAUGAGAACAUGUCUAUAGUAUGGUGGGCCUGGGAGAAAUUAUGCCAAGAUUGUUGGUGGGGGGAGCCUGAGGCUAGCAGCCUUUGCAAGGUGUGUGAGGGCUGCUGGACAAGAAGCCAGAGUUUCCCCGCUCCUUACACUGUGGUAUUGUGGUUCUUUUUUCCUACCCUUUCUCUUUUUCCUACAUGGCUAGAUUUUAUUUAUUUAUUUAUUUAUUUUGGCAGGGCAAUGAGGACUAAGUGACUUGCUCAGGGUCACACAGCUAGUAAGUGUCAAGUGUCUGAGGUUGGAUUUGAACUCAGGUCCUCCUGAAUCCAGGGCCAGUACUUUAUCCACUGCGCCACCAAGCUGCCCCCCUAGCUAGCUUCUUAACACAUCCCCCCCUAUGUUUCAAGAUAUCCAUCACACCUUUUCUGGUCCUUUUCUGGUUCUGUGUUGUGGAGAAAUGUCAUCUCCUUCAGGAAGCCUUCCUUGACCAUAUUCAUUCAUCCCCAUCUUCCAGCAUGCAAAUUUUAAUGCUCCCUCUUUUUCACUUCAUGAUUUUAAUGGCACUUUGUUUUGUAUAUGCUCAGAUCACCUAACAUGGAAGCACCCAUGUGGGAGAUGUCGGGGAUCAGCUUCUGGGAGAAGACUGUUGUUUCCCUACUGCAUGAAUGGGAACAGCCUCUUUCUGUUAACUGCAGAGCUGGAACAGAGGCGGACAGUCUUUCUCUCUCUGCCUCUGUGCACUAUGGAUUGAUCUGGGGGAGGGGGAAGAUGACUUCUGACACCCCCUUUUUAAGCCCUGUGGCCCUGAGAAAUGGGGGGUUUCGGUUUGUGUCUUGUCCUUUUUAGUUCUAGGUAUAGACAGUGGAUUCAGACUCAAGCCAUGGGAACUUUGGAGGUAGGAUUCCAGGAUGGCUGCUCCUUGUAGCCUAGCAGAGAAGCCCUGAGAAAGCCAGAGUGCCUGGGGAGCUUAGGACUUGGAACUUGGUGGGACUCUGAUAUAUGGUUAAACUGGGAAACGAAUCUGCCUUCCCUCCCCGGAGACUGACAUGGUAUUGUUGCUGUUCAGUCAGUCAAUUGUGUCCCACUCUUCUUGACCCUGCAGAUCAACUGUCCAUGGGGUUUUCUUGGCAAAGAUACUGGACUGGUUUGCUGUUUCACUCCCCAGUGGAUCCUUUUGUCAGGCAAACAGAGGUUACAUGACUUGGCCACAGUCACACAGCUAGGAAGUGUCUGAGGCUAGAUUUGAACUCAGGUCUUUCUGACCCCAAGCCCAUUGCUCUAUCCAGUAAGCCAAUA